UACAGAGGUCCCAAGCGUUGUUCGGAUUCACUGGGCGUAAAGGGUGCGUAGGCGGUCGGGUAAGUCUGAUGUGAAAUCUCCAAGCUCAACUUGGAAAUGGCAUCGGAUACUAUUCGGCUCGAGGAAUGGAGGGGAGACUGGAAUACUUGGUGUAGCAGUGAAAUGCGUAGAUAUCAAGUGGAACACCAGUGGCGAAGGCGAGUCUCUGGACAUUUCCUGACGCUGAGGUACGAAAGCCAGGGGAGCAAACGGG
rnacentral:rRNA from 1 species